rnacentral:rRNA from 1 species
UACGGGGGGGGGCAAGCGUUGUUCGGAAUUACUGGGCGUAAAGGGCGCGUAGGCGGUUUGCUAAGUUGAAUGUGAAAACUCUGGGCUUAACCCAGAGCCUGCAUUCAAUACUGGCAGGCUAGAGUUCUGGAGGGGAUAGCGGAAUUCCUGGUGUAGCGGUGAAAUGCGUAGAUAUCAGGAGGAACACCAGUGGCGAAGGCGGCUCACUGGCCCGAUACUGACGCUGAGGCACGAAAGCGUGGGGAGCAAACAGG